GUGGUGCUUCUUGCUAUUUGUCUCCAGAAGAGCACAGCAGCUGCUCACAAUGACUGCUCUUGUUAUGCUUUUUCCUACCAGCUUUAUGUCACAAAACUAAGAUGCAAAGUCAUUAUGAUCCACCCGUGAUAAUGCCUGCUGGACUACAAUGUGCUCGGAUAAAGCAGCUAUUAUGUCACUCAAACGUGCACGAAAUCACAAACUGGGAGGGAAUACAACUAUUCUGAGCCCAGCUGAAAUCCUAUCCACUCUGAUCAAUAGCAGUGCUACAGCUUCAGUACAUUCAUUACAGGAACAGAGAUGAACAGCAUUUGAAAACAGACAGAAAAUGGACAAGGAUCCUUCCAACCUGAGUAGAAGAUUCUUUUGUUCACAAACAUCACCCCAGAAAUUCACAUGUCCUUGCUCAUCCCUACACGUGAACCUCAGUGUCUCUGGUUUCUAAAAUACAACACAGCAGUAUGACUGCAGCACAUUCAUUUCUUCCCUAGGACGACAGUCUCUCAGCACUAAAGUCUAAGAACUACAGCCAAAAUCCUCCAUCUCAAGCACAGGUUACAGAAACGGGUGAAACAGAACAAGAGAGGAUGGUUGGAAAAGCUCUUUGAAAUGAAAAAUAACAAAUGUGUGGCUGAAUGGCUGCCCAGAAUAAGAAACCCUUGGCAGAGAGAAAGAGAAAGAGAAGAAACUGUGCUGCUGGAGGCUUCAAAAGAACAUGGAGUACUGACCACCCCAAACCUCAACCUACAGGCGCGGCAGCCUGAUUUCCUCCUGAGCUCUAAGGAGCUCCCUGUGCACCACCUCAUCAAGGAUCUCAUGUGGGGACUGGGAAGGCAAUGCUUGGAGCUUCUGUACACUGAAAAACAAAUUAACCAUAAAAUAUGCUUCCAAAUACAUAAAAGAAAAUUGGCCUCCACCAUCGCAAUUAAAUAUACAUUACAGGCAACCUUC